ACGAACAAAAGGCCCGACUUACAUGAGAGUCUUCAUGUUCAUCGUAAGCGAUGCAUCACCUGCGCACCCAAGGAAAACAAAUAAUUCGACUCGAUCUCCUUGGCAGCGGCUUUCUCUAUCUGUAAACAUCGAGAUCGUCUCGAAAGGCUGGCCGGCUGGCCCUUGGUUCAUUAAAAUUCCAACCUGAAACGCACCAACAUCAUGAUUGCGCGCCUCGGAGCUUAUUUUUUUGUCUAGCCAGCCACCGCCACAGCGAGCCGACGAAAUGAUCCGAUCCAUCGCGGUUUGUGCUUUCUCAUCUUUUCCCACUGUAAGUGUCACUCGCAAACUCAAGAACUUCGAUGCUUUCUCAUCUUUUCCCACUUGAACUUGACAAUGUGAAUGCCAUGGAAUCAAAAUGGUGGUGCCACCAUUUUGCUCGGCCAUCCAUGGUUAAUAUCCAAGAGCUCUGAUUGACAAAAGAUUCUUGGAUUGGAAUCUCGUGCUCGGGAACAGGGCUUGUACACUCGUCCAACACAUUGACCACAGAAAAGCAUUGUGUGGGUGUUAAGAAACCGCAACGUUAGAGUCAAGUUCCUCAUUUAUCAGGAGUGAGUGAUGGAGGAGAAAAUUCUAAACAAACCAACGCCAACUCGAUCAAUCAAUAUUUUGAGAGGGUGGUAAGAAGCACCAUACUUCUCUAAGGUACUUGGGAUCUCAUCAAAUCUCCUUGUACUUUGUAUGGUAUGAUUUUUUAUAUAUAUUUUUUUCCUUUUACAUCUUUAACUUGGGUUGGAGCUUUGCGUUUGGGUCCCUUGUUUCUGACACGACUCAGCACGGAAACAACUCAAGAACACACUCAUGAAAAGCAAGAGAGCAUUCGUAUACACAAGAAGAGAGACUAGAUCUUGCAUUGUCCAGCCUGCCUUCUCGACUUAAAAAGAGGGAAGUAAAAAUGGAAACUUUGAUCCUUGAUCGGACUCAAACACUCUGGAAAAGAAAAGUUGCGAGCUCGCGAAGAACGUGUCCCGGAGCCCUUUUCUCUCCAUGGAGCCGGAGCCUUCGCGUUGAGUCGUAAUCUGCAUGGGAAAUAGCGAAAUCCUACACAUCAAGCUCGGAAUCAAAAGUUCCUCCUAUAGCUACACAAUAAGUAAAGAUGAAACAAGCAGGAGA